rnacentral:tRNA from 1 species
GGCUCGGUAGCUUAGUUGGUAAAGCGCUCGUCUAGCAUACAAGAGUCGUGGGUUCAAAUCCCAGCCGAGCAC